AGCCUUCUGUAUCUUUGCUGAGAUUUCGUCACACACCAGACCACAAGAGCUGAUGAGACCUCCUAGAUAAGUAAAGCG
rnacentral:pre_miRNA from 1 species